rnacentral:lncRNA from 1 species
UGGGAGCCGAAAGUUGGGGUCUUGCUCUGUCGCUCAGGCUGGAGUGCAGUGGCAUGAUCAUGGGUCACUGCAGCCUUGAACUCCUGGGCUUAAGGGAUCUUCUCAUCUCAGUCUCCUAAAUAGCUGGGACUACAGGCUCAGGCCACCAUGCCUGGACAUCUGAGUUCACCACACUGGCCACAGCUGACUGGAACAGUUGACAGAUUCAUCUUCUACCAUGCUUGGACAUCAGUGCUCCUGGUUCCUGGGCCUUUGAACUUGGAUGAGGACUUACUUAGACCAUUGUCUCCCUUGGUUCUCAAGCCUCUGGGUUGUGCUGGAACUACACUGCUGGCUUUCCUGGGAUUUUAACUUGCAGACAGCAGAUUGUGGGACUUUUCAGCCUGCAUAACUGCAUGAACAAAUCCUCAUAACAAAGCUCUUUCUAAA